GAAGGAGAAAGCAGGAGGAAAAAGGAGAUGGAGAGAGAGAAGAAAUGUCUUAAAAUGCAAUAGGGAAGAGGAGUUAAAAAACUAGAAAGAGAUAUAUUAAAUAUAGGAGUCUCUCUCAAUGCCAGUCAUCCCAUGAGUUCAUUCCACUGUACCAAGAGAGAAAAACAAGUCCCAAGGAAGAUUUGGGGAGGUCCUAUUAUGUACAGAUGUAUGCUGUUCAUUUUACAGAUGAGGAAACUGGAUCCAAAAGGAUUAAAUUAUUUUCCUAGGGUCACACAGCUGCCAAAUAGCUGAGAUGGAGAAGUGGAGGCAGCAGAAGUUAUGUGACUUGCUCAUGUUUCUACAGCUAAGAAGGAGCAGAGUACAAAGAGUGGAGUCUCCAAUCUGGCUUGAAAGCAUGAGUAAUGAGGAUCUGAGAUUUCAGGAAUCCAAGCUGGAUAAUAUAGUCAUCUUGGCAAAGAAAUCCUGAGAACCAUGGGUCAGGAACAAUAACCCAGUGGACACUAGCACUACAGGCUGGAAAGUAAACUUGGUGGGAACAAUGCUACAUUGAAUUAAACUGUGAACCUAAUUCCUGCCCCCCAAUUCCUAAGAUGUAAUAUGAGAGCCAUUGUGACCCGGAGAUGUUAGAAGUCCUCUUACUUUGUUCUUGCUAUAUUUUUAAAGUAAAUAUUUCUUUAUAAAGCUAAUAUGAUGGUAACUAAUUAAAUAAAACUAGGACUAGUCACUAGAUCCCUAAAAUG
rnacentral:lncRNA from 1 species